rnacentral:rRNA from 1 species
UACAGAGGGUGCGAGCGUUAAUCGGACUUACUGGGCGUAAAGGGUGCGUAGGCGGAUUUAUAAGUCAGUUGUGAAAGCCCAGGGCUUAACCUUGGAGGUGCAAUUGAAACUGUGAAUCUAGAGUCGAGUAGAGGGGAGUGGAAUUUCCGGUGUAGCGGUGAAAUGCGUAGAUAUCGGAAGGAACACCAGUGGCGAAGGCGACUCUCUGGACUCAGACUGACGCUGAGGCACGAAAGCGUGGGGAGCGAACAGG